GUCACAUACACAUGGUUAGCAGAUGUUAAUGAGAGUGUAGCGAAAUGCUUGAAGAGCACUUCCUGUAGGGGCAACACACUGAAGCGAUAUAGCACUUCCUGUAUGGGCAACACACUGUGGUGAAAAAGCACUUCCUGUAGGUGCAACACACUGAAGCGAUAUAGCUCUUCCUGUAAUUUCAACACACUGUAGCAACAUAUCACUUCCUGUAGGGGCAACACACUGUAGUUAUAAUGCACUUCCUGUAGGGGCAACACACUGUAGAGUUGUAACAUUUCCUGUAAGGGCAACACACUGUAGAGAUAUAACACUUCGUAAGGGGCAACACAAUGUAUCUAUAUUGCACUUCCUGUAGGUGCAACACACAAUAGUGAUAUAGUACUUCCUGUAGGGGCAACACACUGUAGCGAUAUUGCACUUCCUGUACAUGCAACACAUUGUGCCUAUAUAACACUUCCUGUAGGGAUAAUAAACUGUUGCGAUAUUGCAAUUCCUGUAGGUGCAACACACUGCAGCGAUAUAGAACUUCCUGUAAGGGCAACACACUGUAGCUGUAUAGCACUUCCUGCAGGGCAACACACUGUAGCUAUUAGGAAUUCUUGUUGGGGCAAAACACUGUGGCUCUAUAGAACUUCUUGCAGGGGCAAUACACUGUAGCAAUAUAGCACUUCCUUUAGGGGCAACACUGUUGCUAAAUAGCAAUUCCUGUAGGUACAACACACUGUAGUUAUAUAGCACUUCCUGUACGGGCAACACACCCUUGCGAAAUUCAACUUCCUGUAGAGGCAACACACUGCAGUGGUGUAGCACUUCCUGUUCUGGCAACACAAUGUUGCUCUAUAGCACUACCUGUAUGGGCAACACACUGUUGCGAAAGGGCAACAAACUCUAGCGUUAUAGCUCUUCCUGUAACGGCAACACACUGUGUCUAUAUAGCACUUCCUGUAGGGGCAAAACACUGUAGCGAUAUAGCACUUCCUGUACAUGCAACACAUUGUGCCUAUAUAACACUUCAUGUAGGGAUAAUAAACUGUUGCGAUAUUGCAAUUACUGUAGGUGCAACACACUGUAGCGAUAUAGCACUUCCUGUAGGUUCAACACACUGUAGCUAUAUAGCACUUCCUGUAGGGGCAACACACUGUAGCGAUAUAGCACUUCCUGUAGGGGCAACACACUGUAGUUAUAAUGCACGUCCUGUAGGGGCAACACACUGUAGAGCUAUAGCACUUCCUGUAAGGGCAACACACUGUAGCGAUAUUACACUUCCUGGAGGAGCAACACAGUUUAGCGAUAUAGCACUUCCUAAGAGGCUACACACUGCAGCUAUAUAGCACUUCCUGUAUUGGCAACACACUGUAGCUAUAUUUCACUUCCUGUAGGGGCAACACACUGUAGCUAUAUAGCACUUCCUGUAGGGGCAACACACUCCAGCUAAAUAGCACUUCCUGUAGGGGCAACACACUAUUGAUAUGUAGCACUUCCUGUAGGGCAACACACUGUAGCUAUAUAGCACUUCCUGUAAGGGCAACACACUGUAGCUAUAUAGUACUUCCUGUAAGGGCAACACACUGUAGCUAUAUAGCACUUCCUGUAUUGGCAACACACUGUAGCUGAAUAGCACUUCCUGUAGGGGCAACAAACUGUAGCUAUGUAGCACUUCCUGUAGGGGCAACACACUGUUUCUAUAUAGCACUUCCUGUAGGGGAAACACACUGUAGCAAUAAUGCACUUCCUGUAGGGGCAACACACUGUAGCAAUAAUGCACUUCCUGUAGGGGCAACACACUGUAGCAAUAAUGCACUUCCUGUAGGGGCAACGCACUGUAGAGGUAUAGUACUUCCUGUAAGGGCAACACACUGUAGCGAUAUAACACUUCCU
rnacentral:lncRNA from 1 species